GACGAACGCUGGCGGCGUGCUUAACACAUGCAAGUCGAACGAUGAAGAAAAGAAUUGAAGCUUCGGCAGAAAUUCAUUUCGGAUUAGUGGCAGACGGGUGAGUAACGCGUGAGCAACCUACCUCUUACAAAGGGAUAGCCUCGGGAAACCGGGAUUAAUACCAUAUAACAUUGCGACGAAGCAUUUCGAUGCAAUCAAAGCUACGGCGGUAAGAGAUGGGCUCGCGUCCCAUUAACCAGAUGGUGAGGUAACGGCUCACCAUAGUAACGAUGGGUAACCGGGCGGAGAGGGUGAACGGUCACACUGGAACUAAGCCACGGUCCAGACUCCUACGGGAAGCAGCAGUGGGGAAUAUUGCACAAUGGAGGGAACUCUGAUGCAGCGACGCCGCGUGAGUAAUGAAGGAAUUCGUUUCGUAAAACUCUGUUCUAUGGGAAGAAAAGGACGGUACCAAAGGAGAAAGCUCCGGCUAAAUACGUG
rnacentral:rRNA from 1 species